rnacentral:rRNA from 1 species
UGGGGAAUUUUGGACAAUGGGGGCAACCCUGAUCCAGCCAUGCCGCGUGCAGGAAGAAGGCCCUAUGGGUCGUAAACUGCUUUUGAACAAGAGAAAACCCCGGUACGUGUACUGGGUUGAUAGUAUUGUUAGAAUAAGCAUCGGCUAACUUCGUGCCAGCAGCCGCGGUAAUACGUAGGGUGCAGGCGUUAAUCGGAAUUACUGGGCGUAAAGCGUGCGCAGGCGGUUUGUUAAGACAGGUGUGAAAUCCCCGGGCUUAACCUGGGAAUUGCGCUUGUAACUGGCAGGCUAGAGUGUGGCAGAGGGGGGUGGAAUUCCACGUGUAGCAGUGAAAUGCGUAGAUAUGUGGAGGAACACCGAUGGCGAAGGCAGCCCCCUGGGUUAACACUGACGCUCAUGCACGAAAGCGUGGGGAGCAAACAGGAUUAGAUACCCAUGUAGUCCCUGAGCGGGCUGGCAAGGCGCAU